AAUCAACGCUGGCGGCGUGCCUCAGACAUGCAAGUCGAACGAUUAAAGCUCUCUUCGGAGAGUGCAUAGAGUGGCGCACGGGUGAGUAACACGUAAGUAAUCUACCUUCGAGUGGGGAAUAACGUCCGGAACGGACGCUAAUACCGCAUAAUGCAGCGGCAUCGCAAGAUGACAGUUGUUAAAGGAGCAAUUCGCUUGAAGAGGAGCUUGCGGCAGAUUAGCUAGUUGGUAAGGUAAUGGCUUACCAAGGCUACGAUCUGUAACCGGUCUAAGAGGACGGUCGGGUCACACUGACACUGAAUAACGGGUCAGACUCCUACGGGAGGCAGCAGUCGGGAAUUUUGGGUCAAUGGGCGAAAGCCUGACCCAGCAACGCCGCGUGAAGGAUGAAGUAUUUCGGUAUGUAAACUUCGAAAGAAUGGGAAGAAUCAAUGACGGUACCAUUUAUAAGGUCCGGCUAACUACGUGCCAGCCGCCGCA
rnacentral:rRNA from 1 species